UACUCACGGCCGGCAUCCUAGUGAUUAGAGUUUGAUCAUGGCUCAGGGUGAACGCUGGCGGCGUGCCAUAACACAUGCAAGUCGAGCGGGUACCCGCAAGGGUGCCAGCGGCGCACGGGUGAGUAACACGUGGGUAAUCUACCCCUUGGAGGGGGAUAACCAGGGGAAACUCCGGCUAAUACCCCAUACGAUCCAGCAACGAAGGUCACUGGAUGAAAGGAGCGUUUUGCUCCGCCGAGGGAUGAGCCCGCGUCCCAUCAGGUAGUUGGUGGGGUAAUGGCCCACCAAGCCUAUGACGGGUAGCCGGCCUGAGAGGGUGGUCGGCCACAAGGGCACUGAGACACGGGCCCUACUCCUACGGGAGGCAGCAGUGGGGAAUCUUGGACAAUGGGCGAAAGCCUGAUCCAGCGACGCCGCGUGGGGGAAGAAGCCCUUCGGGGUGUAAACCCUUGUUGCGAGGGAGGAAUAAGGCUUGGAGGAAAUGCCAAGCCGAUGACUGUACCUUGCGAGAAAGCCCCGGCUAACUACGUGCCAGCAGCCGCGGUAAUACGUAGGGGGGCGAGCGUUACCCGGGAUUCACUGGGUUGUAAAGGGGGCGUAUGUGGCUUGUUAAAUCUGGGUGUGAAANCCCACAGCCUUANCUGUGUGGAAUUGCGCCCCNAAACUGCCCAAGUCUUUGGGC
rnacentral:rRNA from 1 species